rnacentral:rRNA from 1 species
CCUACGGGUGGCAGCAGUGGGGAAUCUUGCGCAAUGGGCGAAAGCCUGACGCAGCGACGCCGCGUGGGUGAUGAAGGCCUUCGGGUUGUAAAGCCCUGUGGGGAGAGACGAAUAAGUCAUGGCUAAUAUCCGUGGUGAUGACGGUAUCUCCUUAGCAAGCACCGGCUAACUCUGUGCCAGCAGCCGCGGUAAGACAGAGGGUGCGAACGUUGUUCGGAAUUACUGGGCGUAAAGCGCGUGUAGGUGGCAUUGCAAGUCGGAUGUGAAAGCCCGGGGCUCAACCUCGGAAGUGCAUUCGAUACUGCAAAGCUAGAGUCCUGGAGAGGAUGGUGGAACUCUCGGUGUAGAGGUGAAAUUCGUAGAUAUCGAGAAGAACACCGGUGGCGAAGGCGGCCAUCUGGACAGUGACUGACACUGAGACGCGAAAGCGUGGGGAGCAAACAGGAUUAGAUACCCUAGUAGUC